UACGAAGGGUGCUAGCGUUGUUCGGAAUCACUGGGCGUAAAGCGCGCGUAGGUGGCUUUUCAAGUCAGGGGUGAAAUCCCACGGCUCAACCGUGGAACUGCCCUUGAAACUGAGAAGCUUGAGUGUCGGAGGGGAUAGCGGAAUUGCUAAUGUAGAGGUGAAAUUCGUAGAUAUUAGCAGGAACACCGGUGGCGAAGGCGGCUAUCUGGACGACAACUGACACUGAGGCGCGAAAGCGCGGGGAUCAAACAGG
rnacentral:rRNA from 1 species